rnacentral:lncRNA from 1 species
CUUAUUUCUCUUUCACACGGGACAUUUUACGGGGAAAGGCUAUUAACAUUUAUACAGGUAAUGGUGGAAAAGAUCUAGCACGUGACUUUACAUAUAUAGAUGACAUUGUUAAGGGCUGUGUGGGAGCUCUGGACACGGCUGAGAAAAGCACUGGCAGCGGUGGUAAGAAGACUGGCCCAGCGCAACUGCGUGUUUUCAACCUGGGCAAUACCUCUCCUGUUACGGUGCCUACCUUGGUUGACAUCCUAGAGAAGUACUUGAAGCAGAAGGCGAAGAGAAAUAUCAUUAAGAUGCCUCGGAAUGGAGAUGUUCCUUUUACACACGCGAACAUUUCAUAUGCGCAAAGCCAGUUUAACUACCAUCCAACGACAAAUUUGGACACAGGCCUUAAAAAGUUCGUGAAGUGGUAUUUGAGCUACUAUGGAGUUGGAACGGACCAUAAGUUGUGGUUGGGGGAUCAUGAGCAGAUAGUAUAAAUCUUCAUCCAUUUCUUACCUGGCAUUGUAGAUUUUGUCUGAUCGAAGUUUGAAGCUGGGAGUAGAGAUGCCAAAGCAACACUGUCUAUUAUGUCCGUCUCUUGAACACACAAUUUGGCUCUUAUCGGUGUUG